AUUCUGCCCAUGCGGGGAAGGACGAGAAGCUUCGACCAAGGUUCGACUCGAGCGCCAGCGAGAGAGCGUUGCCGCAGGCAACGACCCGAAGGGCGAAGCGCGCAGCGCUGAGUAAUCCUUCCCCCACCACCA
rnacentral:sRNA from 1 species